GAUGAAGAACGUAGCGAAAUGCGAUAAGUAGUGUGAAUUACAGAAUUCAGUGAAUCAUCGAAUCUUUGAACGCACAUUGCGCCCUUUGGUAUUCCUUAGGGCAUGCCUGUUCGAGCGUCAUUUAAACCUUCAAGCUCAGCUUGGUGUUGGGUGACUGUCCGCUUCACCGCGGACUCGCCUCAAAAUUAUUGGCGGCCGGUACAUUGGCUCUCGAGCGCAGCAGAAACGCGUAACUCGAGGUCCUCGUGCUGGCUCCCAGAAGCUAUCUUCACAAUUUUGACCUCGGAUCAGGUAGGGAUACCCGCUGAACUUAAGCAUAUCAAUAAGCGGAGGA
rnacentral:misc_RNA from 1 species